AGGGGAACAAAUGACAGUAUUUUUUUUUUAAGAUCACAUUCACUUAACCACAAGCCAGUUUUACUUAAAUCAGGACUGCCCAAAAAUAUUCUGCCAGUCAUUCAGGAUAUGAAAUCUGGUAUUAGAGAUCAAUUGAAUUAUGGUACACAUUAAAAAGCCAUGAGACAUUUGUUUUGCAAUAAAUAAAUAAGGCAGUGGCUAUUACUCAUUUGUAGCUUUUUUUGAGUUAAGCUA